CAAAAGUAGCUGCUAACAGGGUCAUGGACAGUCAUCCGUUGUAAUCGGGAGUAUAGCUGCAAGUGCUUUGAAGUUCAGGACCCUUAUGACUACACUGGACCCACCUAGCUAUCCUGAAUAAUCUCUCAUCUCAUGAUCCUUUAUCCACCUGGAAAAUUCCUUUGCCAUACAAGGUGCUGAUGAGAAAACCACCACUUGGAAAGCUGGGAGAGAACUUUGGCCAGGGGGAUGAAGGAAGGCUCUCCAAGGAGGCUGAGACAUGGGUGUGAGCACCUACUUCAACAGAGAAUCCCUGCCUGGAACUCAGAAACUGCUGAGUUUAUCACCACUCUCUCUGAUUUGCUGAAGUGCUGAGAACUU